AUUGAACGCUGGCGGCAGGCCUAACACAUGCAAGUCGAACGGUAACAGGAAACAGCUUGCUGUUUCGCUGACGAGUGGCGGACGGGUGAGUAAUGUCUGGGAAACUGCCUGAUGGAGGGGGAUAACUACUGGAAACGGUAGCUAAUACCGCAUAACGUCGCAAGACCAAAGAGGGGGACCCUCGGGCCUCUUGCCAUCGGAUGCGCCCAGAUGGGAUUAGCUUGUUGGUGGGGUAACGGCUCACCAAGGCGACGAUCCCUAGCUGGUCUGAGAGGAUGACCAGCCACACUGGAACUGAGACACGGUCCAGACUCCUACGGGAGGCAGCAGUGGGGAAUAUUGCACAAUGGGCGCAAGCCUGAUGCAGCCAUGCCGCGUGUAUGAAGAAGGCCUUCGGGUUGUAAAGUACUUUCAGCGGGGAGGAAGGGAGUAAAGUUAAUACCUUGGCUCAUUGACGUUACCCGCAGAAGAAGCACCGGCUAACUCCGUG
rnacentral:rRNA from 1 species